CUGCUUUUGAAUUCAGCAGCUCCAGCCUGUGCUAAUUGAUUUGAUUCUGGGAGUUUAGAAUUUGGUAGUUGGGAGCAGAGUGAACUCUUCCUGAAAUAAUGAAUGCAAAUUAAUGUGAAAGUAUAUCCCCAGGAUUUCCUAUGUGAGAAUUUAAGCAUUCGAAAGCUAAGUAACUGGCCCAGAUUCAACAAGAUGAAGCAGAGGAAGAAGAGCUGAAACUGGACUGUUAACACCCAACCCAGGACACUUGUGCCUACAGCUGGAAGCUUCCACAUCAUGUGCCCUGGAGAGACAGAGCAUGAACGGGGGAGGGUCAGAGAGAGGGAG